rnacentral:snRNA from 1 species
GUGCUCGCUUCGCAGCACAUAUACCAAAAUUGGAACGAUACAGAGAUUAGCGUGGCCCCUGCGCGAGGGUGACACGCAAGAAUUAAUAGAAAGUUUA